UUUCGAAUCAGAAUCAACAUUAAACUCGACCAAGUGGUCAUUUCAGUGUCACAUCAUGGGCUUCAUGGCCACAUGAGUUGUUACUUUUCUCAUUAAAACUUGACUUUAAUGUUCCAUUCCACGUGUCAAAGAGACAGAACUGAUAUCAAAGAAACUGAAUCCACAAACCCAGUGAACUAAAUAUUUCAAAAAUCAACUAGAAUUACCCAUGGCCACAUGCAAGAUGGAGCAGAAUCAAUGUGAUCACCACCAAAAGUAGAAACGGCGCGUUUAGACGAGCGUGCCAAUCAGGAUCGGAUUUCGCUUACGACCAAUUUCAUUAUCGGUUUCCUAUACUCUACGAUAAGGAGGACAUUUCCUAGAAGAUGGGAAAAAAAAAUAUGUAACUGUGGAGAUGGACACCGAAGAAGGUAUUAUAAUACCAGAUGCCACAUGCCCAGAGCAUUGUAUUUGCAACGUCUAAAGUCUUUCUUUUCUCUUUUCCUUUUCACGAUGGGUAUUUUAUAUAUGUAUGCAUUAUCUGCCAAAGUGUAUGACAAGUAGUCGAGACGUCUAUCUUCUACUAAAUAAUAGACAGACAACAACAGACUGUGUUGUGUGCAGCAGCUUCUUUUGGCCGGAUAAAGUCGAAAGACCCAGAGGAGAAGCUGCUAGAGUCUAUAAGCCAGUCGGGAGAGAAAAAAAGGGGGAAAGGGGGAAUCUAUAAUACUCCCGACGGGAGUUCCUUUGUUGAUGGGAUCUUGGCUUGGUGGGUGGAUGUACCUUCAAAAUAAAUAAAAAAACAAAACCCACUCAAAAACUCUCUAAUAAUAUAUGUCUAAAGCUUAACAUAAUCUUUGACUUUUUCAUAACUUUGACAUAAUUCUUGUAUUUUCUGGCUGCUGUUUUUUUCGUUCGUUCGUUCGUUGACGUAACCAGUCACGUCGCUGGUGAGCACAAGAGGGUUUGUUGUUUUGAUGUGCUCCUUUUUUUGACGUGAUUAGAUUUCGUGCAACCCAAACGGGUGUCGGUCCCUCAAAUGAAACACGUUUCUUUUUUAAAAACAAAACAACAAAAAGAGACGUGAUUUUUAUUGCGCCACAUUGAUCAAGGUCGUGACUAAACUUUUUUCCCGUUCGACUUUUGUAAUUCGGAGAGGGUCAUAAGUCAUAACAUUAAAAGCUCAUAUAAGAUCCCAAGCACAUUCCAUUAAAGAUUACAUAUCAGACUUUUGGUAGACCUUGUAAUCUUCUUUAUUUUUUUUUUCCUACUACGACUGAUUGAAUUACGUCAAUUGUAUUGGACAGAGUACUGUACAAAUAGGCCAGUGGUAGAUUCUAUAGUGGCCCUUUAACGGAAGGGGGGGUAGACUCUGACCGGGCCCCACACAAGUAUAUUAGAUCGAGUGCCCAGCCAGUCGAGUGGUCAUUCCAGCAGUGGCCGCGUAGAAGAAAGAAAGAAAAAAGUGGUGGUGGGUGGCUAUACAUACAGUCGUCUUUAGGAGGGCCAUCAGAAAUAAAAGUGAACAAAAAAAAAGAACCAAAAAGGAGGGAAGGAGGACUGGGGGGUAUAGAGCCAGCAGUCUAUAACAACAGAGAAAUAUGUGGGGCCGGGGGAAAAUGCUG
rnacentral:lncRNA from 1 species